CACGUAGGCACCAAGCGUUGUCCGGAUUUAUUGGGCGUAAAGAGCUCGUAGGCGGUCUGUUGCGUCGGGAGUGAAAACUCAGGGCUUAACCCUGAGCCUGCUUCCGAUACGGGCAGACUAGAGGUAUGCAGGGGGAGAACGGAAUUCCUGGUGUAGCGGUGAAAUGCGCAGAUAUCAGGAGGAACACCGGUGGCGAAGGCGGUUCUCUGGGCAUUACCUGACGCUGAGGAGCGAAAGUGUGGGGAGCGAACAGG
rnacentral:rRNA from 1 species